rnacentral:rRNA from 1 species
AGCGCAAGAAUCUAGCUUUUGGUCGGGGACAACAGUUGGAAACGACUGCUAAUACCGGAUAUGCGGAGACGUGAAAGAUUAAUUGCCAAAAGAAGAGCUUGCGUCCGAUUAGCUAGUUGGUGGGGUGAGAGCCUACCAAGGCGACGAUCGGUAGCUGGUCUGAGAGGAUGACCAGCCACACUGGAACUGAGACACGGUCCAGACUCCUACGGGAGGCAGCAGUGGGGAAUUUUCCGCAAUGGGCGAAAGCCUGACGGAGCAAUACCGCGUGAGGGAGGAAGGCUCUUGGGUUGUAAACCU